ACCUAUAGGGGGCCUGUCACCCGGCACGUGCGCGGGGGGCCGGCCGGACCGUGAGGGGCGGGGUGCCCGCGGGCCGGCGGGGCCCGACCCGACCCCGACCCGACCCGCCGGGGAGCGGGGCCCGGCCUCCGCCGGCGCCCGGCGGGGCCGCCUCGGCCAGGAUCAAUGGGACCUCCUCGGGAGAGCCUUUCCUGACUUCCAGCCUCCCAGUCCUGACUGUCCGCCCAUCCAGGAGUCUACUGCGGGUCACACCCAUCGGGACAAAAGGCACACCUUCCACCAGAAGUUCCAGGCGCGUGGGAGCUCUGCGUCCGACGCCCUUCUCGGGAGACCACGAGGGUUUUCGGAGCUCUGUGCCGGGAACUGGGGUCAAAGACCAGACACAGGCGGAGCUGCGGGCAAAGUCUCUCUGUCUCUCCGUUCCUUACCGUUUCACAGUGUCACGUCCAUUGACUAAAAACCUGGCUUCUGCGUUGAACUGAAAGACCCUUGAGGAGGUGCUUUCCUGGGAGAGGAGUCCCCAUGAGAGGUGACCGAUGGGAGGAAGGCUGCGUCGGGGGCACGUGAGCUUGGGAGAGCGGUGGGCCGGUGUCGGGGUGUCGCCAGAUGCUGCAGCCCGAUUUGUCAGCUGGGGCCCGCUGUUUAGCCAGAAGGUUUGGGCAUGACCUAAAAAACGCACGCCCCCUCCCUGUGCCUGCUCUGCCACCGAGGGCGUCUCCAAGAUGGGAGUUCCCGGCGUCUGGCUGCCCCAGAUGUUGGAGUUUUGCUGACCUGCAGAAGCCUCCCGGGCUCACCGGAACGAGAGACCGUUUGAUAUUUACACCCGAAGGGCUGAGCCUUCUCACUGAACUGACCACACGCGCACGCACGUGCAGAGGCCAUUGCUAUGUGCGGUGCGCCGUGGCUGCCGGGAGAUGAACAAGGCCCUGUCCCCGCCCGGGAAUGUUCUUUCUGUUCUGUGUGCAGUGAGUCCUGACUGAAGGUUGUCAACAGUUUCUGCAGCUUUAAGUGGAAUGACGUACAACGAAACCGAUCUCACCAUAGGCUAACUGAUGUCUGUAGACAAGGGUUAGGGUCCGAUGACAUCUUAUCACGGUUACAACCGAGAUGCGUCGAGCAAGACGUUAUUCGAGGACCGGCUGUCCACGUCUGACGCCUGCCCGCGCUCGAGGGGCCCGGCUUUCCUGGACGGCUCUUCAUGGUUUGACGGGCCCUUCUCUCCGAAAGCUGAGUCCCUGUCCCCGAGUGCCGGGAGAGGGCCGUCUGCCCCGCCAGGGUAACAGACGAGAGGCCUGUCCACCUCAGGCCCCGAUUUCCUGCGGCACGUAAGCAUCGUGGGCACCCAGGCCUGAAGCGUGUGCGGCAGUGGACAGUUUUAUAAAGUAGAAGCUGGGUGGUUUGAGACAAAACAUGUUCUUCCCCACCGCCCCCGCAAACACAAGCUUCUCCUUCCUUCCCAGUUCUCCAGAUAUGUUUCUUUUUAGACGAUGGACAUUAAAGCCAGAUGUGGGGCUGCUCGCACUUACACCGUGGCACAGGCUCCGACCUGGGAGAACUGUGCAUGCCCUUGGCAUUUGCAGCAGCGGCCUCUCCCAGCAGAGCCAGAAAUAUCGGAACAACCCGUGGGCCCCCACACUGCAUUCGUGUCUGUCUUCACCGGGAUUCCUGAGAUGUGGCUUUCAACGUGAUGGCCUGUGACUUGGCUGGCACUCUGUAGAGUGGGGCCAUGGACCACUAGUGACACUGUGUAGGGAUGCUCUGUGACAGAGCGUUGCUGUAGCUUUCCGCCUGGCCCCGCUGCCAGCGCCUCCCUGCUCUAAGCCAGUGAACACAUCUUUGCCGGUUUAGUUUUCCGAAGCACGGCUCUAAUCAAACCACCUUUCUCCCAUAGAACUUCCGCGGCUCCCCGCUGCCUACCUGCCGUGUUGAAUGCACGAAUAGCUCGAUGGCCUUAAUGCCGUGUCCUUUAAAACGUGACCUCUCCUGUGCAGCUUCUCCCGCCAGUUACAGACAUUCCUGUGCUCCAGCCCGUGAGAGCCCAUCGGCCGCAUUUACUGAACACUCAUGUGUAAGGUGCAGGGUUGGACCCUGGGGGUUCAAAGAUAAAGAUUUAAAAAAAAAUUUUUUUAAAAGAUUUUAUUUAUUUAUUUUUAGAGAGGGAAGGGAGGGAGAAAGAGAGAAAGAGAGAGAGAAACAUCAAUGUGCGGUUGCUGGGGGCCGUGGCCUGCAACCCAGGCAUGUGCCCUGACUGGGAAUCGAACCUGCAAUGCUUUAGUUCGCAGCCCAUGCUCAAUCCACUGAGCUACGCCUGCCAGGGCAAAGAUAAAGAUUUUUAUCAGGAAGUAACUUACAGUUUUGCAGUAGAACAAGAAGUUUGAGCAAAACCUGGAGGUAAAAUGUGUCAAAGAGCUGAGUAGUCCCUCAUGUCCACUCCUGGGCAAACCUGGUUUGAACAGCAGCCUGGUGGUCACUGCUGGCUGAUGGGCGGUGACUCUGCCUCUCGCCUUUCCCCCAGUCUGUGCUGGUUGAGCGCUUGGUUCGCCUCGUGCGACAGCCGCCCUCCCCUCGGGACCCGGCACCUGACUGCACGCAGCCCCUCCUCCCAGACUGUGCUCCUGCUGCACUCAGGCUCUCGUCAUCUCCCCCGGGACCCCUGUCACCGUCUCCCAAGUCGUCUCCCUGUCCCCAAACAGCUGCCAGAGUGGUCUUCUCACAAGUCCCACAUGACGGGGUUCUCCCCAGGGGGGAGCCGCCAUGGCUGCCCCUUGGCCACGGGGUGGACCCAAAGCCCAGGCUCCGGGCGUGUCUGUGCUGCCCCCGCCCAGGAGCCUCGAGUGCUGGAACCAUGGCGGCGGCGCCUCGGCCCUGCCUGCGGGGCAGCCUCCGGGCCUCGUCCGCCCUCAGCGCUUCAGUGGACAGUGCCAGUGUCCUCCGGUGGCCAACCCAGGGGGCCCAGGCUGGGCCAGCCUGGAAAGGGGACCUGAGAAGGUGGCGGUGUCUCCUCCUGGAUGCUCUCCUGCACCGGGCCGCAGGAAGCAUGGAGGCGGCCAGGCCAGCCGCCGGCUUCCGGGCUUCGGGCUCUGCUUGUCUGAGUCUGCUUCUCGUGACUCCCGCGGUGUGGAGCUCUCCAGGGGCGUCCACUCUUUGGGCAUCUCUGGGCCACACUGGAAGAAGGAGAGUGCUCUCAGCCACACGUUAAAUACAUCGCAACAUGUAAUCACAAAAAAAGAUCUCAUAAUGUUUCACGUAAAUUUACAAUUUUGUGUUGAGCCGUGUUCACAGCCUUCCUGGGACCCAUGUGGCCUGGGGGCCGCAGGCUGGACACCCCUGCUAGGCUUGCUGCUUGCCCACCCUUCUCCUUCCUCCUCCUUUAAACUCAGCGACUGAACUCUGGACCCCUUCCCCUUGGCUGACUUGGAAGUCUCGCGGUGGUCCAUGGGAAUUGCCCCCUGGGGGACUUUGCUUCUGGGAAGGGUGGACAGGAGGAGGAGAGGCUGGAGGGUUCCGCGGGAGCCGAGUGGCCACAUGGUCCGUGCAAAGGCGUGGAGACCUCCCCCUCUGCCGGUGGGGAGGCAGAGAGUUUUGCGUGGGGGUCACACAGGGUCAGAUGUGUGUUUCAGGACCAUAGCCCUUGGGAGCCGGGAGCCAGGGAGGAUGGUUGGAGGCUAAGAACUGAGGUGUGCGAUGACAAGGACCGGAACCUUCCAGGGGUCCUGGUGCCGUGGGAGUCAGGUGGGAAGCCGAGAGGAACCAUGAGGGGAAGUGGAUCCCAGGAUCGGCAACCGGAGAGUAUCUCGCCGUUCCAAGGGGAUUCCGGAGCCAGCGGCCCCUGCACUGGCUCUGCAGGGCUGCGCCCCCUGGUGGGUGGGGAGGCCCGGUGCUGACCAGUUUCCCCGGCCCCUGGCCCUGUCUGCAGAGGGGAGAAGGGGAAGGAGGAGAGCCAUUUCACUCCAUCGCAGGUCCAGCACUUAAAAAAGCCUGGCUGGACACGCAGUAGAAGCCAGAGGAUGUGGUUUGGGUUGUCCCUGAAAAAGAUCCCUAUUUACGUGUGCAAGGGUAUUUUCAGACGAGGCUUCCUGCGCAGAAGGGGAGGCUGUCCCCUCCACAGGGGCUGCUCCUUAAAGGCACCUUGUGGUGCAGCCGCUCAGGGCCGGGAGGGGAUGGCUGGCGCUCAGGGCUUCGUCUCAGUCGCAGCUGUGGUUGGGCCCACAGCUGCUCGUCACGUCUCCAAUCCCAGUUCAGCCUGCAACUCUUGGUGUGAUGUUAGCCGAGACACUUCCUGUUCCCCAGACUCUCCUUAGCAAUCUGGGCGGCACUCCUCCGUCUUCUAGAAUGCAACAGGAGGUGCGAUUAGUUUGUGUUUGUGAGGCGCUCAGAGGCCCCCAGGCGAAAGCUGCUGGGCAAAGGGCUGCAUUUUCUCCCUGCGAGUGGGACCUGUGGUUUUGCAGUCUAGUUCACGCGUGGUUGCUAAGGAGGCGGAGCGGUUUUCGCGAUUGCAGAGUCCGGUUCUGGGCGGACCCUUCCUUCCUUCCUUCCUUCCUUCCUUCCUUCCUUCCUUCCAGUUUCUUCCCUUCUUCCAAAAUGUUUUUUAGGAAGACUUUUUAAAAAUAUGGAGCUGUGCUGAUAUAAAUAGCAGCCAUGUACCUGCCCACCAAUCAGAAUAAACAAAUAUUGACAUUUUUUUUGCAAUGAGCAAGUUCUAUUAGCAUUUAAAAAUAUUUUUAUCGGGAGGUAGAGGAGGGAAAAGGGGGGACAGAUGGAGACAGAAGGAAGCGACUCGGGAGCUGAACACAGAGUGCGAUAUGCAGGUGACGUGUAGUGGGACUGGCACCCGGAAUCUGUGUGGUUUUGUUAACCAGUGUCAUGCCAACACAUUCAGUGAAAAAUAAGCAGGUGCCCUGGCUGGUGUGGCUCAGUGGAUUGAGCGAGGGCCCGUGAACCAAAGGGUCGCCAGUUCGAUUCCCAGUCAGGGCACACGCCUGGGUUGUGGGCCAGGACCCCAGUAGGGGGCGUGCGAGAGGCAACCGCACAGUGAUGUUUCGCUCCCUCUCUUUCUCCUUCCCUUCCCUUCUCUCUAAAAAUAAAUAAAAUCUUUUGUAAAAAGGUAAAAAUACUUUUGUCUAACAACACACCUUGAGCUACAUUUGGUUUCCGACCUGCUAUGUUUUUAACAUAAAGGAAACGAAAUACUUGUGUAAGCCCCGCCCCGUCCGCUGGCCGUCCUCUGACCCCAGGGGCGGCACCGUCAGGGGUGUGGGCCCUGCACUCCGUGAACGUGUGCCCGUGCUGUGCCCACGUGUGACUCUAGCUUCUCCCCGCGUGGAACAGCACCGACCCGUAGACAGACGGGAGUGCGCAGAGCAUGGGGCCUGGAGUCAGGGGGGCCAGGGCUUGAGGCCUUGCCUGGACCCCUUCUGGCCUGUGUCCUUCCGCUUCUUUGGGCCUCAGUUUCCCCGUGUGUAACCUGGCAACGAUUAGUUGCCAGUGUCACCGUUAACACUGAAGACAAUGGCAAAUACAUGGUA